CCUACGGGUGGCUGCAGUGAGGAAUAUUGGUCAAUGGGCGCGAGCCUGAACCAGCCAAGUCGCGUGAGGGAGGACGGCCCUACGGGUUGUAAACCUCUUUUGCCGGGGAGCAACGGGCGUCACGUGUGGCUCCACUGAGAGUACCCGGAGAAAAAGCAUCGGCUAACUCCGUGCCAGCAGCCGCGGUAAUACGGAGGAUGCGAGCGUUAUCCGGAUUUAUUGGGUUUAAAGGGUGCGUAGGCGGUCCGUUAAGUCAGCGGUAAAAUUGCGGGGCUCAACCCCGUCGAGCCGUUGAAACUGGCAGACUUGAGUUGGCGAGAAGUACGCGGAAUGCGCGGUGUAGCGGUGAAAUGCAUAGAUAUCGCGCAGAACUCCGAUUGCGAAGGCAGCGUACCGGCGCCAGACUGACGCUGAGGCACGAAAGCGUGGGGAUCGAACAGGAUUAGAUACCCGAGUAGUC
rnacentral:rRNA from 1 species